rnacentral:rRNA from 1 species
UACGUAGGGUGCGAGCGUUAAUCGGAAUUACUGGGCGUAAAGCGUGCGCAGGCGGUUUUGUAAGACAGGCGUGAAAUCCCCGGGCUCAACCUGGGAAUGGCGCUUGUGACUGCAAAGCUGGAGUGCGGCAGAGGGGGAUGGAAUUCCGCGUGUAGCAGUGAAAUGCGUAGAUAUGCGGAGGAACACCGAUGGCGAAGGCAAUCCCCUGGGCCUGCACUGACGCUCAUGCACGAAAGCGUGGGGAGCAA